GCGCCUGUGGUCUAACGGUAUGACUCGAGUCUUCCAAACUCGAAGCACGGGUUCGACUCCCGUCGGGCGCA
rnacentral:tRNA from 1 species